rnacentral:rRNA from 1 species
ACCCUGAUCCAGCCAUCCCGCGUGUGCGAUGAAGGCCUUCGGGUUGUAAAGCACUUUUGGCAGGAAAGAGACGUCGCGGGUUUAUACCCCGCGAAACUGACGGUACUCUGCAGAAUAAGCACCGGCUAACUACGUGCCAGCAGCCGCGGUUAUACGUAGGGUAGACAAGCGUUAAUCGGUAAUUACUGGGCGUAAAGCGUGCGCAGGCGGUUCGCGAAAGAAAGAUGUGAAAUCCCAGAGCUUAACUUUGGAACUGCAUUUUUAACUACCGGGCUAGAGUGUGUCAGAGGGAGGUGGAAUUCCGCGUGUAGCAGUGAAAUGCGUAGAUAUGCGGAGGAACACCGAUGGCGAAGGCAGCCUCCUGGGAUAACACUGACGCUCAUGCACGAAAGCGUGGGGAGCAAACAGGAUUAGAUACCCUGGUAGUCCACGCCCUAAACGAUGUCAACUAGCUGUUGGGGCCUUCGGGCCUUGGUAGCGCAGCUAACGCGUGAAGUUGACCGUCUUGGG